UACGUAGGGGGCGAGCGUUGUCCGGAGUUACUGGGCGUAAAGCGCACGCAGGCGGUCUGUGAAGUUUGGAGUGACAGUUGGUGGCUCAACCACCAAAGUGCUUUGAAAACUGAUAGACUUGAGGGCUUCAGAGGGACACGGAAUUCCGGGUGGAGUGGUGAAAUGCGUAGAGAUCCGGAGGAACACCAACGGCGAAAGCACUCUGCUGGGCCGACACUGACACUGAGAGACGAAAGCUAGGGGAGCGAAUGGG
rnacentral:rRNA from 1 species